rnacentral:rRNA from 1 species
AGUCACUGACAUUAGAUACCCCGGUAGUCCCAGCCGUAAACUAUGUGCGUUAGGUGUGUCAGUGACCACGUGUCACUGAGGUGCCGAAGGGAAACCGUGAAACGCACCGCCUGGGAGUACGGUCGCAAGGCUGAAACUUAAAGGAAUUGGCGGGGAGCACCACAACGGGUGGAGCCUGCGGUUUAAUUGGAUUCAACGCCGGAAAUCUUACCGGGACCGACAGCAACAUGAAGGCCAAGCUGAAGACUUUGCCGGAUUAGCUG